rnacentral:rRNA from 1 species
AGACACGGCCCAGACUCCUACGGGAGGCAGCAGUGGGGAAUAUUGCACAAUGGGCGAAAGCCUGAUGCAGCGACGCCGCGUGAGGGAUGACGGCCUUCGGGUUGUAAACCUCUUUCAGCAGGGAAGAAGCGAAAGUGACGGUACCUGCAGAAGAAGCGCCGGCUAACUACGUGCCAGCAGCCGCGGUAAUACGUAGGGCGCAAGCGUUGUCCGGAAUUAUUGGGCGUAAAGAGCUCGUAGGCGGCUUGUCACGUCGGUUGUGAAAGCCCGGGGCUUAACCCCGGGUCUGCAGUCGAUACGGGCAGGCUAGAGUUCGGUAGGGGAGAUCGGAAUUCCUGGUGUAGCGGUGAAAUGCGCAGAUAUCAGGAGGAACACCGGUGGCGAAGGCGGAUCUCUGGGCCGAUACUGACGCUGAGGAGCGAAAGCGUGGGGAGCGAACAGGAUUAGAUACCCUGGUAGUCCACGCCGUAAACGGUGGGCACUAGGUGUGGGCAACAUUCCACGUUGUCCGUGCCGCAGCUAACGCAUUAAGUGCCCCGCCUGGGGAGUACGGCCGCAAGGCUAAAACUCAAAGGAAUUGACGGGGGCCCGCACAAGCGGCGGAGCAUGUGGCUUAAUUCGACGCAACGCGAAGAACCUUACCAAGGCUUGACAUACACCGGAAAGCAUCAGAGAUGGUGCCCCCCUUGUGGUCGGUGUAC